UAUAUAUAAGUAUUUCAUAAUUAAUGAUCUACUUAAUAAAAUUAGGGAUGCACCGGUUUACCGUCCAUAAAUCGGAACUGGACGGUUUUUGCUUAAAAUACGCGAUCGGCAAUCGGCCGGUUUUUGGUAUUUUUUCGGCUGAUGAGCAGGAAGCGAACAGUCGUUAUUGUACUGACGCACAAAUAAGAGUCCCUUUCCUGCGCGAGUGUACUGUACAUGUCCCUGCACAAGCGGAGACCGUGAAGGGACGUUCAGCUCAACUUCUCGCGUGUUGGAUGAGAAACGAAUCAGACUAAACCAGAGGUGGGACUUUCAUGUCACAAGCAAGUCUUCAAGUUAUAUCUCAAGUCCUCAAAGGGUUAAAGUUAAUGAGAUAAUUAAGUGACUUAUUAAAUGAUGAUUGUACAUUAGUGAUGAACAUAUGCUGGUAACAGUCAACAUCACUGAAGUAAAGAGAAACACAAGAACUACAAUUGAAAAACAACAACAACAACAACACACACACACAAAAAAAAACAAAAAAAAACACUAUGUCACCCUAAUUGUGGUCAAGGUUUGCUUUAAGUAGUCUUUUGACCCUUUUUACUAACUCAAAGGAAUUUGAUUAAAAAAAAUGCAAUAUUGUUUUCGCAACAGUUAUGUAUGCGUUGCUGAAUCAAACCUUGCAGUAACAGAUAAUCUUCUGCUAUUUUGCUUAUGAGUCAUGAUUAAACAUCAUGAAGUAGUCUUUAUCUUUGGAUUGUUGACUGACACUCAGCGAUUUCUGAACACCACAGCAAUGCUUCAACGUUGAAAGACAAAAAAAGAGGAAAUUGUCAGUUCAGGCUUUAAGACAUGCACACUUAUCACACGAUCCUCAACAGUGGUGACAAUUUUUCAUACUGCAGUGCAUGAUGGGAGUUUUUACAAUGGUGUUACCCAGCAUGCAACAUUUUGUUGAUUGUCACCACUGUUGAGAGUCAUAUGCUGGUUCUUAAUCUCUAUGUGUGUCUCCAGAGUAGUGGAGCUCAAUUUUGGUAUUCACUUAUAGACUUAUAAUUCACUAGCUAUAAUUGUUUUACAUGUCGUAGUUCUGCUUGGUUGAUUAUGCAAAACUCAAAUAAAAGAAAUGUUAAUAUUUCUGUAAUCAGACCAGGUCACGAUUACUAGCUUAUCACAUACAGACAGAUAAUAUCUUCUCUCUGCUUUACAGCACCAUAUAUAUGUAUGUUGUUUUGGAACCACAUACCUCGAGUAAGUAAGGUUUGGGGUUAAUCAACCAAGAGUUCAGGGUUUAGUUCAUGGUAAGUUAAUCCUGCUUCCUGGAAUCCACCCCCCCCCCCCCCCAUGUUAUGCAAAGAUUUGGUUUAAAAAACAGUAUCCAGAGGUGGGACUUUCAAGUCACAAGCAAGUCUUCAAGUCAUAUCCCAAGUCCUCAAAGGGUUAAAGUUAAUGAGAUAAUUAAGGGAAUAAUUAAAUGAUCACUAAAACUGCAAUUCAUAGACUGGCCGCUUGAGACUGGUUCCAAAAGGGAGUCAGUCCCAUAGUCUCUCCACGUUAAAAUGGCCAACUUUACAGCAGAAAAAAAAGAAAGCUAAUAUUGCCCUUCAUGACAACUGUGUGGUAGGGCUGUCAAAAUUGCUCAAAAAUUAUGUUUGAAUAUUCCCUCUAAAAAAAAACAUCUGGUCGCGCAUGUUGUCAAUGACGCACAUUAAGUCAAUAACAGGACAAAAUAAUACAAAGAGACAUAACUACUUGUAUAGGUAGUCUACAAAAACAAGGAAAUCAACCAAUGGCCAAGACUGCAGACCUCACGCUCUCUCACCCUCACGUUCUCUGUGCAUAACGGUUUAAAUGAACAAAUAAAUUUUGAGUGCUGAUCAAGAGUUUUGUUUUGGGCUCUGCACUUGCUGCCAUUUUCCAUGAAGAUGCAUCAACUUUCAGCAGUGAUUCUGUGCCAGACAGUGCGACUCCUGUGACCUGUCCCUCAACCCUCAGGCGCGCUAGCGCGCCCACUCGCAGAGUAGCCAACCACGCCUCUACUACCGCAAGCGAUUUUUUCCACAUUUUUUUUAUUCGAAUAUUAAUUUCCACCUUCGAAAUUAGUUUUUUUUUUUUACGUAUUUGAAUAUAUAUUCAAAUUUAGAAUAUUCGUUGACAGAAUGAAUGUUUAUAACAUCCAUUUAUUAUAAUAUUAUAUAUUAUAAUAUAUAAUAUUAUAUUAAGCCUUAAAGUUCUGCAUAAUUAAGGGCGUGGCCACAUUGAGUGACAGGUUGAUUGACGGUGCUGUCACCACAGUCGAGCUAGGUGGGCGUAUUUUCUGCAACAAGCUCUUGCCGUUUUGCCCUUUUUCGAUUAUCUGGGAGAAAACGUAGUUCACCUACGGUUGACGUCACGAACACAACGACCAUGUUUUUAUACAGUCUAUUGUCAUAACCCCCUCACACAAGCACUUCUCAAUGCGGAUGUCUGUUCUUGCUACAGUCUCAUUUUAUAAUGUGAAACAACUGUCCUGAUAGCACAUUUACUUAGGUGUAAUGAAUGGCAUGUGUUUAUAACUCUCUUGAAAUGUGGCUGACAUUUGGGACAUCAUGAUGAAAUUGUCUCCUGUUCUGUGCUGUAGGCUCUGAUGAGGAUGCUGAGGGGAAAGUGAGACCAUUCCUGGCUCGUCCCGGUUGCAGAGAAUCUUUAGGAUUGGUGAAAGGCAAGUCGUACCUCAUCAUGGGGAGAUCUGUUGACCUGCCAGAGCUGGGAGGAAGUCUGCAGUAUGUUUUUGGAGAGCAGACCUGGGUUGAAUACUGGCCUACAAGAGAAGAAAGCCAAACUCCACAACACCGGGAGCGAUACAUCGGCAUCACUGACCUCCAGAACAGCCUUCUCAGAUAUAGUUGUACUUUAUAAAUAUAGUAUAAUAACAUUUCUUUAUUAUAGGAAAUGUAACAUUAUAUUUUGCACACUCUAAAUAAAUUGUUCUUGAUGAUAUGUAUGAAUUUCACCAAAAUAUGCUGGUAUAAUUCCAUAAUAAAACUUGAACAUCUUCA